rnacentral:tRNA from 1 species
GGAGAGGUGGCCGAGCGGUUGAAGGCGCACGCUUGGAAAGCGUGUGUAGGUGACCCCUACCGAGGGUUCGAAUCCCUCCCUCUCCG